UAGGUUAAUGUGAUGGCGAAGGUGUCUCUGUUCUUUUUUUUAGUGUGUUUUUAGAAGAUCCCAAAGUGAUAUGUUUAAGGAAAAAGAAAUGGUAGUUGAUUGUCAAGCGUGGUGUGUAUGGUUACGGGUGUGUGAAUCAUGCUCAUAGGAAUGGAGAGCCUCAGAGUGUGGCGUCCUUCCUAGCUUACCAAAACCAAACCGCACCUGCCAAAAUCAAAUGCUACCCAGCAGCAGAAACCGUUUUUCUCUGCCAGAUCCCCCAAAAUUGCCCCUGAUGUGUCCCCUAUUUGCAUCGUCCUAGCCUGCAGAAAAUCAUUCUCUGCCCCCUCCUCCCCCA
rnacentral:lncRNA from 1 species